rnacentral:lncRNA from 1 species
UCAGUGUCAGCGCUGUCCGGGGCCACCCCUCGGCCUCACCGGCCUCUACGGCUUCAUCUUCUACCUGCUUGCCUCCGUCCUGCUCUCCCUGCUCCUCAUUCUCAAAGCGGGAAGGAGGUGGAACAAAUAUUUUAAGUCACGAAGACCUCUCUUUACGGGAGGCCUCAUUGGAGGCCUCUUCACCUACGUCCUCUUUUGGACCUUCCUCUAUGGCAUGGUGCACGUCUACUGAAAUGAGGGCAGGGGUGACUUUAAAACAGAUCGGCAAGGCUCUUGCCAGAAUUAACACCGGGUAGACUUACUUAGAUUUUAAAUUGUUGGAAUUCGCUGCUUGUUCUGUACUGUUAUAAUUUAUAUCUGAAGACAGAGCCUGUAAUAUUAUUCUUCAGAUUAAAUGAAGUGUGACACCU